rnacentral:rRNA from 1 species
AGACUACGACGUUGAUAGGUCAGGUGUGUAAGUGCUGUGAGUCAUUGAGCUAACUGAUACUAAUUGCCCGUGAGGCUUAACCAUACAUCACCCAAGGGGUUU